rnacentral:rRNA from 1 species
UACGUAGGGGGCAAGCGUUGUCCGGAUUUAUUGGGCGUAAAGAGCGUGUAGGCGGCCAGAUAGGUCGGUUGUGAAAACUGGAGGCUCAACCUCCAGACGUCGACCGAAACCAUCUGGCUAGAGUCCGGAAGAGGAGAGUGGAAUUCCUGGUGUAGCGGUGAAAUGCGCAGAUAUCAGGAAGAACACCCGUGGCUAAGGCGGCUCUCUAGUACGGUACUGACGCUGAGACGCGAAAGCGUGGGGAGCGAACAGG